AAAAAAAAAAAAAAAAAAAAAAAGGUCAAAGGAGGUCAUUCCAAGAAGCGAUGAGAACGCAGAAAUAUAUUCCUAUAUGCUUUUUCCACAACUCUAUUUUAUCUAAUAGCGUUAGAUAGGCCUCAAUACCAAACUAAGCCUUAGUUGUUGGUAUCCGAAAUUGGAAGGUUGAAAUAUAAUUGCUUCAUAUUUUUAGCUAAGUUUAUUUUUUUUAAAAAAAUAAACGAAGCGGAUAUUAUGUUAUCUUUUUUUUCUUAAAAUAAAACACAUAUAGAUAUAUGUAACGCCCCACUUCCUAAGAAGUCAUCUAUUCUAAAACUACUCUAACUGUAUUAUGCUUAACUUUCUUAAUCUGGAUGAAAAGAUAAAAUGGUGGAUGAAAAAUAUUUAAUACCAUCAGAGUGUAAAACUAAAUUUUGCUGUCUAUAUUUCUAAAAUAUUAUUGUAUAAAUUUAAAUUAUGUAAUUUUUUAUCCAUAAUUUUUUAUAUGAUUUAUAUUGUAUAUAUUAAAGAUAAAUUUUAAUUUUAUAAUAUUGAUUAAUUAAUACUAUGUUGAUAGUAAAAGAUCAGAGAGAGAGAGAGAGAGAGAGAGAGAGAGAGAGAGAGAGGAGGAGGAGGAGGAGAAUCUAGAUGGUUAAAAAACAAAAGAAAGGCCCCACACCACUCCCGACGUGGAGAAUGGGAGAGAAACUGGAGAAUUGGGAUGGAAAAGCCUACUCUAAUUCCCUGUGGCUAAAUUAGCGUGAGAGAAGAGAACACCAUAUUGAAUUUCAACUGAAAAAAAGUGGACCCUACCCCCUUAUCCCUUUAUUCGGCUCAAAUCAACGUGGAGAAUGGGGAAGAGAGAAGAAUUGGGAUGGAAAAAAAAAAAGAAAAAAAGUGGGCUCUAUUCCAAGUAGGGAUGUCAAUGAGUAUGGAUAUCCGAAAUAUUAUCCGAAUCCUAAUCCAAACGGGGCGGGUUUAUCCGAGCUAAACGGGUAUGGAUUCGGUUAUAGGUAUAGAAAAUAAAAAUUCGACGGAUAUCGAUACGUGUAUGGAUUUUGUAUUUACCCGACCCGAAUCGGACCCCGACCCGAACCCGAAGCCAAACCCGAAUAAAUUAUAUAUAUACAUACUUUAUUUUUAUUU
rnacentral:lncRNA from 1 species